rnacentral:sRNA from 1 species
CACGGUGGGUGGCGCACUUCCUGAUUUCGGGCAGUGUAUUUCGCGUGUAGAUCGCCACCAGAUACCCGGCCCGCCAACAGCGCGGGCUUUUUUUU